rnacentral:rRNA from 1 species
GGCCAGGACUGCAGUUGACCGUACCGUAAUCCGACACAGGUAGGCGAGGCGAGCAGCCUAAGGUGCUCGAGUGAUUUACGGAAAAGGAACUCGGCAAAAUGACCCCGUAACUUCGGGAUAAGGGGUGCCGGCAGUAGCUGACCUAAUCAAGGGAAGGCGAGACCGGCCGCAGAGAAUCGUCCCAAGCGACUGUUUAGCAAAAACACAGGAGCGUGCUAAGGCAUUGUCCAAGCCAACGUAUACGCUCUGACUCCUGCCCGGUGCCGGAAGGUUAAGGCAAGUCGUCAGCCGCAAGGCGAAGCGAUGAACCGAAGCCCCGGUAAACGGCGGCCGUAACAAUAACGGUCCUAAGGUAGCGAAAUUCCUUGUCGGGUAAGUUCCGACCUGCACGAAUGGAGUAACGACUUGGGAGCUGUCUCUUCCGUAAGCUCGGCGAAAUAGAAGCAUCGGUGAGGAUUCCGAUUACCCGCGACAGGACAAAAAGACCCCAUGCACCUUUACUACAACCUGUCAUUGAUUGUCGGUAUGCGUUGCGUAGCAUAGGUGGGAGCCGGUGGAACCGGGGUUUCGGCCCUGGUGGAGGCACCAGUGAAAUACCACCCUUCGUUUACUAACAAUCUCACUCAGCCGGCAACACCGGCGAGGACCGUGGCAGGCGGGUAGUUUGACUGGGGCGGCCGCCUCCUAAAAAGUACCGGAGGCGCACAAUGGUUGGCUCAGUGCGGUCGGUAAUCGCACGUCGAGUGUAUACGCAGAAGCCAGCCUGACUGCGAGCGCGACAGCGCGAGCAGGGACGAAAGUCGGUGUAAGUGAUCCGGCGGGACCGUGUGGACGGCCCGUCGCUCAUCGGAUAAAAGGUACGCUGGGGAUAACAGGCUUAUCGCGCCCGAGAGUUCACAUCGACGGCGCGGUUUGGCACCUCGAUGUCGGCUUGUCACAUCCUGGGGCUGGAGAAGGUCCCAAGGGUCCGGCUGUUCGCCGGUUAAAGUGGCACAUGAGCUGGGUUCAGAACGUCGUGAGACAGUUCGGUCUGUAUCCGUCGUGGGCGUGGGAAUGUUGAGGGACGUCGACCUUAGUACGAGAGGACCGGGUCGAAGCGACCGCUCGUGUACGGGCUAUCCUGCCAAGGGUAUCGCCCGGUAGCGAUGUCGCGCGCAGAUAACCGCUGAAAGCAUCUAAGUGGGAAACUGUUCCCAAGAUGAACAUUCCUGGGUCUUAAGACCCCUGAAGGGCCGUGGGAGACUACCACGUUGAUAGGCGGCAGAUGUAAGGCGUGCAAGCGCUUCAGUCGAGCCGUACUAAUCGCCCGUGCAGUUUGAUCUC